CUUUUCCAACCUCCGGCUCCACAAGGAGAUUUUUUUUCCAACCUCAGGCUCCACAAGGAGAUUCUCUUCUUUCCCUCCAAGUUCUAGUAAGUGUGUUACAUACAAUACUAUGUCUAUUUGAAAUAUUUUGAAAAUCUCUCACGAUGAGAAGUUUAACUCCAUUGCAGUUACCUCUGCUCGUCCUAAUAAUUAUCAUUUUCGAACAGGGCCUUAAGAAAAGACAUUUUUAAUAAGGCUAUAAAUGGGUCUGGGACCGAUUUUGGACCCGUUAAAGGGUUUGGACCUGGAGACCUGGAUUUGGUCCCGGUCAAUUAGUGGCCCGGGUCCGGAGACCUGGAUCCGGUCCCGGUCAAUUAGUGGCCCGGGUCCGGAGACCUGGAUCCGGUCCCGGUCAAUUAGUGGCCCAGGUCCACAUUAGUCAGGUCUGGCUGGACCCGGCUAUUAUACAUAUUAGGUAAAUAUAAAUAUUUUAGUAAUUUAAGGUUUAAAUAUAAAUAUUUUAUAAUAUAUUAGUAACUUAAGGUGAAAUAUAAAUACACAAUUUAUAUUUUAUAGUAUAUUUAAUUAUUUUAUAGUAUAUUAUUAUAUUUUGUAUCGUGUCUAUUAGAUCGUGUUUAUUAGAUCGAUUUUUUGUGGUACAUUUAUUAGUGUCUUGUGCAUUAUAUUAUUUUAGUCACUAAAUUAAAUAUCAAUGGACAUGAUUUGAUGACGCACAUCGACACAUUCAAGAUACGACGCACCUGAAGUGCGCCUAUUAAAUUAAAAUAUACCUGAAUCAUUUCGUUAUUAUUUCUCCCAAAAUUUUUUACCACCAAUAUUUUUUAGAAGGAAUGAUUAAAAUUUAGUUUUCCUUAUGAUGAUGGGUCUUCUAAAACUAGGUCACUUUAAGUUUUUAACUAUCCAAAAACCCUUCCAAUGUAGGAGGUACAAAACCAGGAGGUCAACCAGACAAAUCCAUUAAUAAAAGAAAGUAAUACAAAAUCCAUCUAAAUUUAGUAGAAUAUAAGAAAUCAAUUUCACAACCUUACAAUAUUUUUAUUUUAUUUAAUAUAUAUCUUUAUUUUUUAUUUUUCAUCUAUAUGUAAGGGUGAGAACGGGGCGGGUCGCCCCGUUCCGUGCCUCGGUGGUAACUGUAGGCGGAGUAGAUAUUCUGUCCUGUUUUUUCAUUUUUUUGCCCCGUUGCCCCGGUCAUAUUCCGGGACGGGUCUCGGGGCAGGGCAAAACCCGGGCGGGUCGCCCCGUUUUUUUUAUUAAUUUAAAUUAUAUUAUAUUAGAUAUAUGAUUUUUAAAAUUAAAUUUUUUAAAAAGGAAGGUAAAAAGUUUACCCAUUUUAAAUUUUAGAUUUAAUUUUUUUUUAUAAUUUUUUUAUUUUUAUAAUUUCAGACGGGUCGCCCCAGAUCUGUCUCGUUCCGCGCCCCGGUCACCGGGUCCGAGUUGAAUAUAGGGGUAGGAAGGUAGAGUACCUGACCCGCCCCGUUUUUCCAUAACAGGGCCGAUAUUGGGACCGCCCUGCCCGCGACCCGCCCCGUUCUCAC
rnacentral:lncRNA from 1 species